rfam:Oryza nivara chromosome 9, whole genome shotgun sequence.
AAUAAAUACAGCUUUACACUAUUCAUGUCUAACGUUUGACCGUUCGUCUUAUUUGAUUUUUUUUAAGAUUAGUAUUUUUAUUGUUAUUAAACGAUAGAACAUGAAUAGUACUUUAUGUGUGACUAUUUUUUUUAAAAAAAAUUCAUAAUUUUUUUAAAUAAGACGGGCGGUCAAACGAUAGACACAUAUAUCCACGGCUACACUUAUU